rnacentral:pre_miRNA from 1 species
AGAGGAAUAGCUGGGUCAAAUGGUGGUUCCAUUCCCAGAUUUCCAAGGAAUCUCCAUACUGCUUUCCAAAUUGGCUGCACCAAUUUGCAAUCCCACCAGCAAU